GCUUCCGUAGCGCAGUAGGCAGCGCGUCAGUCUCAUAAUCUGAAGGUCGUGAGUUGGAGCCUCACCGGGAGCA
rnacentral:tRNA from 1 species